rnacentral:snoRNA from 1 species
GUGCCGUGAUGUGGGCAUGCUUGGAUGUAGUCUUAAAGUCGUUCCCAUGCCUUAGGAAUUGAUUCCAUGGCACUCUGCUGGAAGUUUGAAAUUCUUCCCCUUAGGGC